rnacentral:rRNA from 1 species
GCAUAAUCACUUGCCCAUUAAUUGUGGGCUAGAAUGAAAGGACCAACGAAAUAAAGACUGUCUCCAUAAGUCAUCUAAAAAUUAAUCUCUAACUGAAGACUGUUAGAUUCCGUCGAAGGACAAGAAGACCCUAUAGAGCUUUAUUUUAAUAAAAAAUAUAAAUUUUUAAUAAAUUCGGUUGGGGCGACCAGGGAAGUUACUAAUCAUCCCUAAAUAAAAGAUUAAUUAAUCUAAAUUCUGACCCUUAUUCAAGAUCAAUAGAUCAAGCUACCUUAGGGAUAACAGGCUAAUCUCACUAAAGAGUCCUUAUCAAUAGUGGGGG